rnacentral:rRNA from 1 species
GAUGAACGCUGGCGGCGUGCCUAAUACAUGCAAGUCGAACGCUUCACUUCGGUGAAGAGUGGCGAACGGGUGAGUAAUACAUAAGUAACCUGGCAUCUACAGGGGGAUAACUGAUGGAAACGUCAGCUAAGACCGCAUAGGUGUAGAGAUCGCAUGAACUCUAUAUGAAAAGUGCUACGGGACUGGUAGAUGAUGGACUUAUGGCGCAUUAGCUUGUUGGUAGGGUAACGGCCUACCAAGGCGACGAUGCGUAGCCGACCUGAGAGAGUGACCGGCCACACUGGGACUGAGACACGGCCCAGACUCCUACGGGAGGCAGCAGUAGGGAAUUUUCGGCAAUGGGGGAAACCCUGACCGAGCAACGCCGCGUGAAGGAAGAAGUAAUUCGUUAUGUAAACUUCUGUCAUAGAGGAAGAACGGUGGAUAUAGGGAAUGAUAUCCAAGUGACGGUACUCUAUAAGAAAGCCACGGCUAACUACGUG